AUGAACGCUGACAGAAUGCUUAACACAUGCAAGUCUUUGGCGAAGCUGUGCUCGCACAGCCUAGCCAAGGCGGACGGGUGAGUAACGCGUAAGGAACUUGCCCUGCAGUCAGGGAUAACAGACGGAAACGACUGAUAAGACCUGGUAAAGUCAGGCGGACUCAUGUCCAGCCUGAUGAAAAGAGAUGCUGCAGGAGAGCCUUGCGUCCUAUUAGCUUGUUGGUGGGGUAACGGCCCACCAAGGCGAUGAUAGGUAGCCGGCCUGAGAGGGUGGACGGCCACAAGGGGACUGAGAUACGGCCCUUACUCCUACGGGAGGCAGCAGUGGGGAAUAUUGGACAAUGGGGGCAACCCUGAUCCAGCAAUUCUGCGUGCACGAUGAAGGUUUUCGGAUUGUAAAGUGCUUUCAGCAGGGAAGAAAAAAAUGACGGUACCUGCAGAAGAAGCGACGGCUAAAUACGUG
rnacentral:rRNA from 1 species